rnacentral:rRNA from 1 species
UGUAGGCGGUUCGGUAAGUUAAAGGUGAAAUGCCAGGGCUUAACCCUGGAGCUGCUUUUAAUACUGCCAGACUAGAGUCCGGGAGAGGAUAGCGGAAUUCCUAGUGUAGAGGUGAAAUUCGUAGAUAUUAGGAGGAACACCAGUGGCGAAGGCGGCUAUCUGGUCCGGUACUGACGCUGAGGUGCGAAAGCGUGGGGAGCAAACA